CUUUAGCCCCGAUUGCAGUGGAAAUCCUUUUGUGCCGGUGUUCGGCACAAAAGAUUACUUCACUAUACUUUUAUUUUCAUCGGAGUUCAGUGAACUUCGUUUGUAACGGAAAGCGGGACGAUGC
rnacentral:sRNA from 1 species